UACGGAGGAUCCGAGCGUUAUCCGGAUUUAUUGGGUUUAAAGGGUGCGUAGGCGGUUCGAUAAGUUGGAGGUGAAAUGUUAGGGCUUAACCCUGAAACUGCCUCCAAUACUGUUGGGCUAGAGAGUAGUUGCGGUAGGCGGAAUGUAUGGUGUAGCGGUGAAAUGCUUAGAGAUCAUACAGAACACCGAUUGCGAAGGCAGAUUACCAAACUAUAUCUGACGUUGAGGCACGAAAGCGUGGGGAGCAAACAGG
rnacentral:rRNA from 1 species